CUUAACUUUACAAUGGAGGGUGGGAAUGAAGGAACCAAGUUUCCUAAAACCAUCCCGUUAAUACUCCUGCAUGCGUUAUGACUGACAGGUUAUAAGGUAUGAAGCCAGGUGAAGUCGGCAGAACACAGCUAAAGCCAUUCCUACGGAAUAGGUAUGCUUACGGAUAUGCCGGACGGCUGAAAA
rfam:Sporosarcina psychrophila strain DSM 6497, complete genome.